AACAACUUUUCAGUUUUUUUGCAACAGUGCCUUUUGAAACCCCCUUUCUCUGUUGACCACUUCACAUUUCACAUCCAUCCAUACCCCAGACAAAGGAGUAAGGGUCCCACUGAGUCAUACUCAGUUCCCAAAUGACCUGUGGUUUUUGAGAGAAGCUUAGUGCAUUAAUCAACUUAUUUUAAAAUAUCUAUUUGGAUUUAUUGUGUGCAAAGCAUUGAACUGGACAAUGAUGGAGGCCUCCUCAAGAUGAGGGAGACAUACAUAGAGUUUGGAGUCUUUAAGUGAGGUUAAGAUCCAGUGGAGAUAUUGAAAUGUACACAAAGGAGACAAGUGAGGCUGAGUAAGUGUAGGCAUGAGGAGGAGGAGGGUGGAAAGCUAAGCAUGAAUUAAAUCUGCAACUUAUCAGUUAUAAGACUUAAAUUUUACAUUGAGGAUAGGUACUUAUACUCCCUUUCUCUUCAGAAAGCUGAUGGUGGAGUCCAAAACGGUUCUAGGGACAGGCAGACAGCCCAUUUCAAUGCCAUCUCAGACCUAUUAAGUGUAGACUGUCCUUUUUGGCUAGAAGAGUGAUCCAGAGUUCUGGUGGAAGGGGCCAUGUUGUUUAAGUGGAAACAGGGAAAACAUAAAAAAGCAGCUGAUAUACCAUCUUUAAUGAUCUAUAAGGAUAUCAAGACAGUGGAUGGCUUAAAUGAUUAUUUUUGUCACUUAAAUCUAGAACUCACGUAAGGUUUCUGCUAGGAUCUCAUUAAUGCAUCCUCUAAUGGAAGACAUUUUAUCCAACAUUUCCUUUGUGUAGAAUGUGUGUGAAUUUAUAGAGCAUGUAGUUUACUACAUUUUCUCAUUUGGUUCUUAUACCUGCCUUGUAAACAGAGCAGGUCUUAGUUCAAAAAAUUAUGGGACUAGUUUCUCACUAACCAGGGGGUAAUUAUCUGGAAGUUAAGGACCAUAUUGUGUCUCCAAGGGCCAGAAAAUGAUUGAACUGAAGAGACUGAGACAGAGAUGCUGCAAAACCUCAAAAGCUCUCCUCAGUUCUGUGCUCUUAUUAAUGACAAAAUAGCAACCAAUGUUUGGGUACAACAGGUCAACUGGGACUGCAUCCAAAGGAACAUCUCUGAUGCUACAGACAUUUCGCAAACCCUAAGGUUCUGAAGGGAGGUUUCAGCAUGAUCAGAAAUUCAGGAAUUGCUAGGUUCCACUGGUCCAGGGCUAGGGAGGAACAAAGCCAGAAGUAGGGUGAAUGGAUUCAUAGCUAUGAGACCACCGAUGUGUGCUCUCCCUUCAAGGGAUGUCUUCAACCUCGACUACUUUUAUCUUUAGGUUUUUAUGGCCCAUCUCAUUGGCCUGACCCUGAGGGCAGGAGAUUAGAAACCUUAUGGGAGUUUCAAGCAGCUAAAACAUAUCACCAAGUGGAGACACAUCUUUAUGUCCAUGUCCCUUUCUUAAGCCAGGACUACAUCCUCUAGUGGACUUAAGGUUCAAUAAUGGGGGCAAUAUUCACAGCAAUCUGAUAUAAUGUAUUCCAAAGGUGACAGUGAGGAUUAUGGGAGACACAUCCUUCUGGGAAGAGUUCUUCCUCUCCUGGAAGGGUCAAAAGUAUGGUUUCCAAUUAAGUAAGUUUAAGGAGUCUAAUUUAACUUGACACUGAUCCUUAAACGACGGAAUGAGACAAAACAUGGCAGCAGUACAUGAAGAUUGUGCUAAUCAGGGAGUCUUGAUGGUGUUAGAUAUUAUUUUGGCAUAGGACCCAGGAGAACAUAAAUUCUGUCUUAGCUCAGCCUCUCCUUUUCCUUAUGUAUUUACAAAGAUAUACAUUUACAAAGAACAAAGGGAAAGAAAGGCAAAUUCACAUUUUAUUAUUAGGUGGGAUUGAGACCCAGUCCAGUACAGAGAGCUUUGGCAAGCUGGGAUAGAGCAGUUUUCCUCAAGUUAAGAAGAACUCAGGAGCUUCAGCCAAGGGUCAGUUCAACAUGCUUGUUAACACAGUGCAAAAAUAAGCAGAGAGAGACUCAUCUAGGUACCAAGCUGGCCCGAACUGCCUAGGCAGUAGCCUGAGGACUCAUGCUAUUAAAUUUAUUAGUUUUUUAAUUUUAUGUUUCAAGUCUUUUGUGUCUGAGUAAAAAAAUCAUUGCCUACCUCAAGGUCUCAGAGAUUUUCUCUUUUGUUUUCCUCUAGGAGUUUUAUGGUUUUCACUUUGGUUUUGUUUUAUGAUCUAUUUCAAGUUAAUUUUUAUAUGAUGUGUGGGAGUUCCCGUCGUGGCGCAGUGGUUAACGAAUCCGACUAGGAACCAUGAGGUUGCGGGUUCGGUCCCUGCCCUUGCUCAGUGGGUUAACUAUCCAGCAUUGCCGUGAGCUGUGGUGUAGGUUGCAGACGCGGCUCGGAUCCCUUGUUGCUGUGGCUCUGGUGUAGGCCUGUGGCUACAGCUCCGCAGCUCCGAUUCGACCCCUAGCCUGGGAACCUCCACAUUCUGCAGGAGCGGCCCAAGAAAU
rnacentral:lncRNA from 1 species